GACGAACGCUGGCGGCGCGCUUAACACAUGCAAGUCGAGCGAAGCGGCGGACGGGUGAGUAACACGUGAGUAACCUGCCUGAGACAUUGGGAUAGCCUCGGGAAACCGGGAUUAUUACCAAAUGGUCUAAGAUGGACUCGCGUCGCAUUAGCUAGUUGGUGAGGUAACGGCCCACCAAGGCGACGAUGGGUAGCCGGGCUGAGAGGGUGGACGGCCACGUUGGAACUGAGAAACGGUGCAAACGCUACGGGAGGGAGCAGUGGGGGAUGUUGCACAAUGGAGGGAACUAUGAUGCAGGGAGGCCGCGUGAGCGAAGAAGGCUUUCGGGUCGUAAAGUUCUUUGAUAUGGGAAGCGGUACCAUAAGAAAAAGCCCCGGCUAACUACGUGCCAGCAGCCGCGGUAAUAC
rnacentral:rRNA from 1 species